rnacentral:rRNA from 1 species
AUUGAACGCUGGCGGCAUGCUUUACACAUGCGAGUCGAACGGUAACAGGCCGCAAGGUGCUGACGAGUGGCGAACGGGUGAGUAAUGCAUCGGAACGUGCCCAGUCGUGGGGGAUAACUACUCGAAAGAGUAGCUAAUACCGCAUACGAUCUAUGGAUGAAAGCGGGGGACCGUAAGGCCUCGCGCGAUUGGAGCGGCCGAUGUCAGAUUAGGUAGUUGGUGGGGUAAAGGCUCACCAAGCCAACGAUCUGUAGCUGGUCUGAGAGGAUGACCAGCCACACUGGGACUGAGACACGGCCCAGCCUCCUACGGGAGGCAGCCGUGGGGAAUUUUGGACAAUGGGCGCAAGCCUGAUCCAGCAAUGCCGCGUGCAGGAAGAAGGCCUUCGGGUUGUAAACUGCUUUUGUACGGAACGAAACGGCUCUGGUUAAUACCCGGGGCUAAUGACGGUACCGUAAGAAUAAGCACCGGCUAACUACGUG